rnacentral:lncRNA from 1 species
AGACCACUGAGACCAGGAUUAAGCACAAGACCAGAGAGGGGAGCAACAAGGGCAAAAUAGCCAGGGCCACUACACUGGAUUCACUUGUUAUAUGACAUCAACAUAUAGUCGUGUCCUGUUAACAAGUCAACUGUUAAUGGUCCGCAUACAAUAAAUUGACUUGUCCGAUUUUGUCAUAUAAACAAAACUCCUGAUUUUAGUCCUGAAACUGUUAAAUUUGAUGUUGUGAGCAGUGGCAUAGCCAGACUGAAACAGAAGUGGGGAAACAAUCGUGUCAUCAAGAAAUUGGUGGGUGGGUCAGUGAGGGAGCUGCCAAAGGCAUGAGCCUGUUAGCAGGUCUGGGGGCAUGCUUACCCAGAAGAUUUUAAAUCUGAGGCCUCUCAGAGCCCUGAAAUGCAAUCAAA